rnacentral:rRNA from 1 species
UACGAAGGGGGCUAGCGUUGCUCGGAAUUACUGGGCGUAAAGGGCGCGUAGGCGGCGCUGCAAGUCAGGCGUGAAAUUCCUGGGCUUAACCUGGGGGCUGCGCUUGAGACUGUGGUGCUAGAGGAUGGAAGAGGGUCGUGGAAUUCCCAGUGUAGAGGUGAAAUUCGUAGAUAUUGGGAAGAACACCGGUGGCGAAGGCGGCGACCUGGUCCAUUACUGACGCUGAGGCGCGACAGCGUGGGGAGCAAACAGGAUUAGAUACCCUGGUAGUCCACGCCGUAAACGAUGUGCGCUGGAUGUUGGGGCUCUUAGAGCUUCAGUGUCGUAGCCAACGCGGUAAGCGCACCGCCUGGGGAGUACGGCCGCAAGGUUGAA